CUAGGCUAACACUGCAGAACAUGCAGAGAUACUUUUCUCGUCUCUCAUCGACCCGCACCUCGCAGUGCGCAGUGUGUGGUGUGUGUGUGCGAAGC